AUUGAACGCUGGCGGCAUGCCUUACACAUGCAAGUCGAACGGUAACGGGCCUUCGGGUGCCGACGAGUGGCGAACGGGUGAGUAAUACAUCGGAACGUGCCCGAUCGUGGGGGAUAACGAGGCGAAAGCUUUGCUAAUACCGCAUACGAUCUACGGAUGAAAGCAGGCGACCGCAAGGCCUUGCGCGGACGGAGCGGCCGAUGGCAGAUUAGGUAGUUGGUGGGAUAAAAGCUUACCAAGCCGACGAUCUGUAGCUGGUCUGAGAGGAUGAUCAGCCACACUGGGACUGAGACACGGCCCAGACUCCUACGGGAGGCAGCAGUGGGGAAUUUUGGACAAUGGGCGCAAGCCUGAUCCAGCCAUGCCGCGUGCAGGAUGAAGGCCUUCGGGUUGUAAACUGCUUUUGUACGGAACGAAAAGCCUUCUUUUAAUACAGGAGGGUCAUGACGGUACCGUAAGAAUAAGCACCGGCUAACUACGUG
rnacentral:rRNA from 1 species